rnacentral:rRNA from 1 species
UACAGAGGGUGCAAGCGUUGUUCGGAAUUAUUGGGCGUAAAGGGCGCGUAGGCGGUGCUGUAAGUCUGUGGUGAAAUCUCUGGGCUCAACUCAGAGUCUGCCCAUAGAAACUGCAGUGCUGGAGUGUGGGAGAGGUGAGUGGAAUUCCCGGUGUAGCGGUGAAAUGCGUAGAUAUCAGGAAGAACACCCGUGGCGAAAGCGGCUCUCUGGAACGGUACUGACGCUGAGACGCGAAAGCGUGGGGAGCAAACAGG